rnacentral:rRNA from 1 species
AGGUGUGGAUAGGGGAGAAAUUCCAAUCGAACCCGGAGAUAGCUGGUUCUCCUCGAAAUAGCUUUAGGGCUAGCCUCGAUACAGAUUUGCGGAGGUAGAGCACUGAAUUUCCUAGGGGGCGUCAAAGCCUACCGAAGAAUAUCAAACUCCGAAUGCCGCGUAAUCGAUUAUCGGGAGUCAGACUGCACGAGAUAAGUUGGGCGGUCAAAAGGGAAAGAGCCCAGACCUUCAGUUAAGGUCCCCAAGUGCGCGUUAAGUGGAAAAGGAUGUGGGAUUUCGAAGACAACCAGGAUGUUGGCUCAGAAGCAGCCAUCCAUUCAAAGAGUGCGUAAUAGCUCACUGGUCGAGAGGUCCUGCGCCGAAAAUGUCCGGGGCUGAAACGCGCCACCGAAACUAAGGAACCGAAAGGUUGGUAGAGGAGCAUUGCAUGCGGGAAGAAGCAGUACCGAAAGGAGCUGUGGACUGCAUGGAAGAGAGAAUGCCGGAAUGAGUAGCGAGAUAGAGGUGGGAAUCCUCUAGGCCGAAUAUCCAAGGUUUCCAGAGUAAAGCUGAUCUGCUCUGGGUAAGUCGGGGCCUAAGGCGAGGACGAGAGUCGUAGCCGAUGGACAACAGGUGGAGAUUCCUGUACUGCGGUAUGACAGAACUGUGGGGACACGUAAGGAAAGCGGAAGCCGGGAAUGGAAAGCCCGGUGCAAGCGGGGUACCAGUCACUUUGGCAAAUCCGGGUGGCAAUGGGAAGCCGUGAUGCGGAGCGAAAUAAAGUAGCGAAGUCCGUGAGCCAUGCGUCAAGAAAAGCCGCUAUCGUUUAUACCGUACCCGUACCGUAAACCGACACAGGUGGAUGAGGAGAGAAUCCUAAGGCCGGCGGAAGAAGCAUUGUCAAGGAACUCGGCAAAAUGGCCCCGUAACUUAGGGAUAAGGGGUGCCUGGGAAACCAGGCCGCAGAGAAUAGGCUCAAGCAACUGUUUAGCAAAAACACAGGUCUAUGCGAAACCGAAAGGUGAGGUAUAUGGGCUGACGCCUGCCCGGUGCUGGAAGGUUAAGAGGAGAGGUUAGCGCAAGCGAAGCUUUGAAUUUAAGCCCCAGUAAACGGCGGCCGUAACUAUAACGGUCCUAAGGUAGCGAAAUUCCUUGUCGGGUAAGUUCCGACCCGCACGAAAGGCGUAAUGAUUUGAGCGCUGUCUCGACAAUGCAUCCGGUGAAAUUGAAGUACCAGUGAAGAUGCUGGUUACCUGCGCCAGGACGGAAAGACCCCAUGGAGCUUUACUCCAGUCUGGUACUGGGACUCGGUAUUGCAUGUACAGGAUAGGUGGGAGGCUAGGAGAUGGUAACGCCAGUUGCCAUGGAGCCGCUGUUGGGAUACCACCCUUGCAGUAUUGGGUUUCUAACCAGCCGCCGUGACCCGGCGGUGGGACAAUGCCAGACGGGGAGUUUGACUGGGGCGGUCGCCUCCGAAAGGGUAUCGGAGGCGCCCAAAGGUUCCCUCAGAAUGGACGGAAACCAUUCGAAGAGUGCAAAGGCAGAAGGGAGCUUGACUGCGACACCGACGGGUGGAGCAGGUACGAAAGUAGGGCUUAGUGAUCCGGUGGUAUUAAGUGGGAAUGCCAUCGCUCAACGGAUAAAAGCUACCCUGGGGAUAACAGGCUUAUCACUCCCAAGAGUUCACAUCGACGGAGUGGUUUGGCACCUCGAUGUCGGCUCAUCGCAUCCUGGGGCUGUAGUAGGUCCCAAGGGUUGGGCUGUUCGCCCAUUAAAGCGGUACGCGAGCUGGGUUCAGAACGUCGUGAGACAGUUCGGUCCCUAUCCGGCGUGGGCGUAGGAUAUCUGAGAGGAGCUGUCCUUAGUACGAGAGGACCGGGAUGGACGGGCCGCUGGUGCAUCGGUUAGACUGCCAAGUCUACGGCCGAGUAGCCAAGCCCGGAAGGGAUAAACGCUGAAGGCAUCUAAGCGUGAAGCCCCCCUUAAGAUGAGAUAUCCCAUUCGAAAGAAGUAAACCCCCUUGAAGACGACGAGGUAGAUAGGGCAGAGGUGGAAGUGCAGUAAUGCAUGGAGCUGACUGUUACUAAUCGGGUGAGGGCUUGACCAA